GCAUUGGGCUCCAGGGCUUCAGGAGGAUCCCUGGCUUCCGGAGGCGGCUGAGGGCGGGUAACUGAAAUCACGGGAAGCUAAACUGCGGGUAAGGGAGAACUACCGUAUUCUCGUCUGGGGGCUUGGAAAUGGGAUGCCGACGUGGUCAUCGUUUGUCGCUUGUUUAGCCUCUCCUGAGGAAGUUACUGGAAAUCGGUGUCUGAAGGUCGAGGUCACCACGGCCUUAACUGUCAGAGCAGUCCUCCGCGGAGACAGGCCUACAUUGGAAACUGCCACCUCACAGCCCUGAGUGGCCUGUGAGGGACAGCACCACAGACACUGACCCAGGGAGAACCUCGUCCAGGGCCCUGCUUUCCACACUCGCUACCCCCCAGGAGACGACUUCCUGCAUUUCCUAAGGAAAAACAAUGACCUUCUCUUCAGAGAAGGUCUGCAGAGGACUUCACUGUUUGCAGCUCACUGUUGACAGCUCAUUUAGUCUUGCAACCACUUGAAGCAGUUUAUGCUUCUUGCACAAUGCAUUCCAUUAUUUUUGCUGAAGGUGCAACUGACAAACAAGUACAGUUCUGACAUGAAUGGUGAGAUUUUAAGUGUAUUCGUGAAACAAAAAUGAAACAAAAAUUAUGUCAGAACUUGAUUGGUUUACCGAUGAUGCGAACAACUUCUUUGCUGAAUCAGGACCGUGCCCCCGUAGAAAACAUUCUGGAGAGGUGAGUUCCUCUGAGACUGCCCUUAUGAUUCCUCCACCAACUUUGACAUUGUGAAGAGCAACUCUGAUGUGGCUACUGGAACAGAGGCCAUAGUUGUUGCUAAACCUUUAUUUAGACAGACCAAGAAUUAAGAAAAGCAAAUGUGAUAAAUUUUAACGGGCCCAAGUGAAUGUGAAAACUAAAACCAGAUCCAUGAAUUGGCUGUCUUUACUCAUUUACUUACAUGCAACACUACCAACAUUCAAAAGGAAUUUAAUCUAUUGUUUUCCAUCAGCCACACAUUUAUUUAUUAUUUUUUUUAAUUUAUUUUUGAGACAGAGACAGAGCAUGAACGGGGGAGGGGCAGAGAGAGAGGGAGACACAGAAUCGGAAGCAGGCUCCAGGCUCUGAGCCAUCAGCCCACAGCCCGACGCGGGGCUCGAACUCAAGGACCGUGAGAUCGUGACCUGAGCUGAAGUCAGACGGUUAACUGACUGAGCCACCCAGGCGCCCCCAGCCACACAUUUAUUUAGAGCUGUUUCUUGUACUGUGCAAAAAAGAGGGCAAAUUACAAAUCUGUACAAUAAUCCACAGAAUGUGAUCAAUAUCCUUAUCAACACCCAAAGUGGGUUAACAAGGUUUUUUCUCCUGAAAUCACACCUUCCAAGGAGUCCCAACAAGUGUUCAACACAUAAAAAAAACGUCAGGGAGAGCCUACUUGGCAGAGGAAGUUUGGGAAAAACUGCAUCCCACACCAACACUUCCUCAAAAAACUCACGAUACACACUUGCUCAUUAGAGAACAGGACUGACAUAAAGACAUCUCAGUAACCUUGUUAACCCAGCAUUUCCAAGUUUAUUUCAUCAAUGAGCCCAUUUCUCCCACCUAAUAUCAAUUAACAUCCACAGAAAAGUAGUGGAUAUUGGUGGUCUGGAAAACAACUGCAGGGAGUGAUUUCAGAAACUGCCUCAACUUCGCCAGCAUGGCUACGCACCCUAGGAAAGGGGUAGUGGUCUUGCUGAGGCACUCUAUCCCAUUCACGGCCAAGGCUGAGUCUUGGCUAGAUCAAGCACCCCUUUUCUCUCUGCCGUCUCCGUCUAAGAAAGAUUACCUUACCAGAUACAGCAAACUACUGUUCAUCUGGCAUUAUAGAAAACAGCAACAAUCUUUGCUGGACUCUCUAAACAAACUAAAAUCUUUUAUUAUUAUUUUUUUUAAUGUUUAUUUUUUGUGGGGGGGGAGGAGCAGAGAGAGAGGGAGAGAGAGAAUCCCAAGCAGGCUCUCUACUGUCAGCACAGAGCUCAAUGUAGGGCUUGAACCCAUGAACCGUGACAUCCUGACCUGAGCCAAAAUCAAGAGUCAGACUCUUACCUGACUGAGCCACCUAGGUACCCCUAAAAUCUUUUAAAAAGAGCCCUGCAUAUAUAUGUUCCCCUAUGCUGAAUCAGAGAUUUAGGUAAGACAUCCUGCUGUGCUCAGGGGAAAGUAGUAAAGUUAAAUUAGAGUCUUACAAAAACAUCAAGACAGAAAGAUACCAAAACCACAGUUGGUUAGAAAUAAUAUUUAUUAUCCCCUCCCCCCAUGUACAGAUUACUUUUCAGAAACAUGAAGAUAUUACCCAUGUCCUCAUCAAUAACAGUUUGUAGAAAAUAAACGUAAUUCGUAUCUUGACAAUAUAUUUCUAUCAUUUUUAAAACAAUAGCCAUUUUUCCACGUUAGUUCAAGAAUAGCUUCAAGUUUUACAUUUUGAAUCAAAUCAAGACAAUCUUUGUUUAUAGGUGAUUUCCUGACAGAUCCCAUCCCCCCAACCCCUAAAAAAAAUUCUAUAUCCUAAGUGAUAAACUCUUCUUGUACAUUCAGCAAACUUUAUAUUGGAAAAAGAAAAAGAAUAAUUGAGAUAGGUAUUUACUCUCGUGCACAGUAAUAAAUCUAGCUGAGCUUCUACACCUUGCUUUGCAAUGAUGUUUACAUAAAAUAAAUCAUUUCUUAUCAAGUUACAAUGGUAAUUUCUUGAAAUGUAGAUACAAAAGCUAUACACUUAAUCCACUGAAAUUGCCUUCUAGUUUUAUCUGUAAUUAAACCAUCGCCAUUAAGGAAAAGCUUCAACUCAAGAAGAUGUUUCCCCUUUCCCUCAGCUAUUUCUCUCUGAAAAGCUUGAAUCCUCUCUCAGAUCAUGUAGAGAUACAUUAAAAGCACAGAGAAAAAAAAAAAAAAAA